rnacentral:rRNA from 1 species
AGCGAACGCUGGCGGCGUGCUUAACACAUGCAAGUCGAGUGCGCGGUUCGUAGCAAUACGAACUGGCGCACGGCGCACGGGUGAGGAACACGUGGGCAACAUGCCCUCCGAUGGGGAAUAACCCGCCGAAAGGCGGGCUAAUACCGCAUACGAUUCCGGGGACCUCGGUUCCUGGACUGAAAGCCCGCAAGGGCGUCGGUGGAGUGGCCCGCGGCCGAUUAGCUUGUGGCGGGGUAACGCCCACAAGGCAAUGAUCGGUAGCCGGUCUGAGAGGAUGAUCGGCCACACUGGAACUGAGACACGGUCCAGACUCCUACGGGAGGCAGCAGUGGGGAAUUUUUGGCAAUGGGCGAAAGCCUGACCAAGCAACGCCGCGUGGGUGAUGAAGUAUCUUGGUACGUAAAACCCUUUCGGCAGGGACGAACCUAAUGACGGUACCUGCGGAAGAAGCCCCGGCUAACUCCGUGCCAGCCGCCGCCGUAAU